rnacentral:rRNA from 1 species
GCGGCGGACGGGUGAGUAACACGUGGGUAACCUGCCUGUAAGACUGGGAUAACUCCGGGAAACCGGGGCUAAUACCGGAUGCUUGAUUGAACCGCAUGGUUCAAUCAUAAAAGGUGGCUUUUAGCUACCACUUGCAGAUGGACCCGCGGCGCAUUAGCUAGUUGGUGAGGUAACGGCUCACCAAGGCGACGAUGCGUAGCCGACCUGAGAGGGUGAUCGGCCACACUGGGACUGAGACACGGCCCAGACUCCUACGGGAGGCAGCAGUAGGGAAUCUUCCGCAAUGGACGAAAGUCUGACGGAGCAACGCCGCGUGAGUGAUGAAGGUUUUCGGAUCGUAAAACUCUGUUGUUAGGGAAGAACAAGUACCGUUCGAAUAGGGCGGUACCUUGACGGUACCUAACCAGAAAGCCACGGCUAACUACGUGCCAGCAGCCGCGGUAAUACGUAGGUGGCAAGCGUUGUCCGGAAUUAUUGGGCGUAAAGCGCGCGCAGGCGGUUUCUUAAGUCUGAUGUGAAAGCCCCCGGCUCAACCGGGGAGGGUCAUUGGAAACUGGGGAACUUGAGUGCAGAAGAGGAGAGUGGAAUUCCACGUGUAGCGGUGAAAUGCGUAGAGAUGUGGAGGAACACCAGUGGCGAAGGCGACUCUCUGGUCUGUAACUGACGCUGAGGCGCGAAAGCGUGGGGAGCGAACAGGAUUAGAUACCCUGGUAGUCCACGCCGUAAACGAUGAGUGCUAAGUGUUAGAGGGUUUCCGCCCUUUAGUGCUGCAGCAAACGCAUUAAGCACUCCGCCUGGGGAGUACGGUCGCAAGACUGAAACUCAAAGGAAUUGACGGGGGCCCGCACAAGCGGUGGAGCAUGUGGUUUAAUUCGAAGCAACGCGAAGAACCUUACCAGGUCUUGACAUCCUCUGACAACCCUAGAGAUAGGGCUUCCCCUUCGGGGGCAGAGUGACAGGUGGUGCAUGGUUGUCGUCAGCUCGUGUCGUGAGAUGUUGGGUUAAGUCCCGCAACGAGCGCAACCCUUGAUCUUAGUUGCCAGCAUUCAGUUGGGCACUCUAAGGUGACUGCCGGUGACAAACCGGAGGAAGGUGGGGAUGACGUCAAAUCAUCAUGCCCCUUAUGACCUGGGCUACACACGUGCUACAAUGGGCAGAACAAAGGGCAGCGAAGCCGCGAGGCUAAGCCAAUCCCACAAAUCUGUU